rnacentral:rRNA from 1 species
GGUGUGGAUAGCGGAGAAAUUCCAAUCGAACUCGGAGAUAGCUGGUUCUCCUCGAAAUAGCUUUAGGGCUAGCCUCGAGCUGGAGUCUAACGGAGGUAAAGCACUGAACUGACGCGGGGCCCAAAAAGGUUACCAACUCAUAUCAAACUAAGAAUGCCGUCAAGAUACCCUCGGGAGUCAGUCUGCGUGAGAUAAGUCGCGUGGACAAAAGGGAAAGAGCCCAGACCGACAGCUAAGGUCCCAAAGUACGUGUUAAGUGGAAAAGGAUGUGGGAUUUCAUAGACAACUAGGAUGUUGGCUUAGAAGCAGCCAUACAUUUAAAGAGUGCGUAAUAGCUCACUAGUCGAGAAAACCUGCGCCGAAAAUGUAACGGGGCUAAAACACGACACCGAAGCUACGGAUUCCUUACAAAGUAAGGAGUGGUAGAGGAGCAUCCUGCAAGGACGAAGCCAAAGUGAGAGCGAUGGUGGACGAAACAGGAGAGAGAAUGCCGGAAUGAGUAGCGAGAUACAUGUGAGAAACAUGUAGGCCGAAUAUCUAAGGAUUCCUGGGUAAAGCUAAUCUUCCCAGGGUUAGUCGGGGCCUAAGGCGAGGACGAAAGUCGUAGUCGAUGGAUAACAGGUUGAUAUUCCUGUACUACACAUAAUCAGAACUGUGGGGACGCAGAAGGAUAGGGAAACCGGGGAAUGGAAAGACCCGGUCAAGCGUAAAGCUGUGGGAGAUAGGCAAAUCCGUCUUCUGUAAGUGAAACGUGAUGAGGACUGAAAAAAAGUAAGGAAGUUUCCGAAUCCACACUGCCGAGAAAAGCCGCUAUUGCGUUAUGUGUACCCGUACCGUAAACCGACACAGGUAGAUGAGGAGAAAAUCCACAGGCCGACGGGAGAAGUGUUGUUAAGGAACUCGGCAAAAUGACCCCGUAACUUCGGGAUAAGGGGAGCCUCGCAAGAGGCCGCAGAAAAGAGGCACAAGCAACUGUUUAGCAAAAACAUAGGUCUAUGCGAAACCGUAAGGUGAAGUAUAUGGGCUGACACCUGCCCGGUGCUGGAAGGUUAAAAGGAGAGGUCAGCGCAAGCGAAGCUUUGAAUUCAAGCCCCAGUAAACGGCGGCCGUAACUAUAACGGUCCUAAGGUAGCGAAAUUCCUUGUCAGGUAAGUUCUGACCCGCACGAAAGGCGUAAUGAUUUGUGCACUGUCUCGACAACACGCCCGGUGAAAUUGAAGAACCAGUGAAGAUACUGGUUACCCGCAACAGGACGGAAAGACCCCAUGGAGCUUUACUGCAGCCUGAUACUGGGAUUCGAUGAUAUAUGUACAGGAUAGGUGGGAGGCUAAGAAGCGAGAACGCUAGUUUUCGUGGAGCCGCCGGUGGGAUACCACUCUUAUGUCAUUGAAUUUCUAACCUGCAUCCGUAAUCCGGGUGAGGGACAAUGUCAGGCGGGCAGUUUGACUGGGGCGGUCGCCUCCUAAAAGGUAACGGAGGCGCUCGAAGGUCACCUCAGAAUGAUUGGAAACCAUUCAAAGAGUGUAAAGGCAAAAGGUGGCUUGACUGCGAGAGCGACGGCUCGAGCAGGUACGAAAGUAGGACUUAGUGAUCCGGUGGUAAUAAGUGGGAAUGCCAUCGCUCAACGGAUAAAAGCUACCCUGGGGAUAACAGGCUUAUCUCCCCCAAGAGUUCACAUCGACGGGGAGGUUUGGCACCUCGAUGUCGGCUCAUCGCAUCCUGGGGCUGAAGUAGGUCCCAAGGGUUGGGCUGUUCGCCCAUUAAAGCGGUACGCGAGCUGGGUUCAGAACGUCGUGAGACAGUUCGGUCCCUAUCCGUUGUGGGCGCAGGAAAUUUGAGAGGAGCUGUCCUUAGUACGAGAGGACCGGGAUGGACGUACCUCUGGUGUACCGGUUGCAGACCAACUGCACAGCCGGGUAGCUAUGUAUGGAACGGAUAAACGCUGAAGGCAUCUAAGCGUGAA